AUUACCCGCGCCUUGCGCGGGAUGUGAUGAUUAGUUUUGUUAUUUUAAAUAAAAACACAUUAAAUAUGUUUAAUUUGGAUAUUGGUUCGGUUUUAAAUGAUUUUUUGGUUUAUUCUGUUAGAAUGUUUGAUUUUUUAGUUUUUCGGUAAAAACCAAAAAAUAUUAUUAUUUAUUUAUUUUUAUGUUAUAAAUUUUAGAUAAUCGUCAUGUCGAACCAAUGGUUUUAUAUUAUAGUUUGUAAACGGAUAAUAGUUCAAGAAAAAGAAAAAAAAUUAUUAAGACUAAUCAUUUCACUACAAUUUGGUCGGUAGUGAAAGAAGCAAUAAGAAAAAAAUAUUUCAACUUCCAAAAAAAAAAUAGAUACUUAAGUAGUGGUAAAUACUUAUAAAGUGCGGUGCACAUGUAUGUGUAUGUAAAAGUAUAUAAAAAUAAAUGACAAAUAUAUAAAUAUAUUGUUAAUUAAUAUUAAAUGACAUUUUUGUUCUAAAUAAUACAUGAAAGAUAAAAUUAAAAUUAAUUAAAAAUUAAAAAGGCCUUGACAUUAGUGAAUUUUUUUCAUAUAAAAAAUCAACUGUAUCCAUAAAUAGAGCUGGG
rnacentral:lncRNA from 1 species